rnacentral:rRNA from 1 species
GAUGAACGCUGGCGGCGUGCCUAAUACAUGCAAGUCGAGCGAACAGACGAGGAGCUUGCUCCUUCGACGUUAGCGGCGGACGGGUGAGUAACACGUAGGUAACCUACCUAUAAGACUGGGAUAACUUCGGGAAACCGGAGCUAAUACCGGAUAAUAUUUCGAACCGCAUGGUUCGAUAGUGAAAGAUGGCUUUGCUAUCACUUAUAGAUGGACCUGCGCCGUAUUAGCUAGUUGGUAAGGUAACGGCUUACCAAGGCAACGAUACGUAGCCGACCUGAGAGGGUGAUCGGGCACACUGGAACUGAGACACGGUCCAGACUCCUAGGGGAGGCAGCAGUAGGGAAUCUUCCGCAAUGAGCGAAAGCCUGACGGAGCAACGCCGCGUGAGUGAUGAAGGUCUACGGAUCGUAAAACUCUGUUAUUAGGGAAGAACAAACGUGUAAGUAACUGUGCACGUCUUGACGGUACCUAAUCAGAAAGCCACGGCUAACUACGUG